UACGGAGGUGACUAGCGGUGUUCGGAAUUACUGGGCGUAAAGCGCGCUGAGGCGGAUUAGUCAGUCAGAGGUGAAAUCCCAGGGCUCAACCCUGGAACUGCCUUUGAUACUGCUAGUCUUGAGUUCGAGAGAGGUGAGUGAAAUUCCGAGUGUAGAGGUGAAAUUCGUAGAUAUUCGGAGGAACACCAGUGGCGAAGGCGGCUCACUGGCUCGAUACUGACGCUGAGGUGCGAAAGCGUGGGGAGCAAACAGG
rnacentral:misc_RNA from 1 species